AACGGUCUAUACCUGCGGUACCUGCGGAGGGAUCAUUAAAGAAGUGAGCGCUUUGAAGCUGUAGCUGGCCCCUCGGGGUGCGUGCACGCUUUGAGCGCCUUUCCCACCUCACACCCCUUGUGCACCUUUGGGGCGCGCGUGGCCUUCGGGUCCCGUGCCCUUGUACUUUCACACACGCACCUUUGAAUGUCCUUUUUGUACGUCGACAGAUAAAUAAAUUACAACUUUCAACAACGGAUC
rnacentral:misc_RNA from 1 species